rnacentral:rRNA from 1 species
UUUAACUUAGGUUUGGGUGGCGGACGGGUGAGUAACGCGUAAAGAACUUGCCUCACAGCUAGGGACAACAUUUGGAAACGAAUGCUAAUACCUAAUAUUAUGAUAAUAGGGCAUCCUAUAAUUAUGAAAGCUAUAAGCGCUGUGAGAGAGCUUUGCGUCCCAUUAGCUAGUUGGAGAGGUAACGGCUCACCAAGGCGAUGAUGGGUAGCCGGCCUGAGAGGGUGAUCGGCCACAAGGGGACUGAGACACGGCCCUUACUCCUACGGGAGGCAGCAGUGGGGAAUAUUGGACAAUGGACCAAGAGUCUGAUCCAGCAAUUCUGUGUGCACGAUGAAGUUUUUCGGAAUGUAAAGUGCUUUCAGUUGGGAAGAAAAAAAUGACGGUACCAACAGAAGAAGUGACGGCUAAAUACGUGCCAGCAGCCGCGGUAAUACGUAUGUCACGAGCGUUAUCCGGAUUUAUUGGGCGUAAAGCGCGUCUAGGUGGUUAUGUAAGUCUGAUGUGAAAAUGCAGGGCUCAACUCUGUAUUGCGUUGGAAACUGUAUAACUAGAGUACUGGAGAGGUAAGCGGAACUACAAGUGUAGAGGUGAAAUUCGUAGAUAUUUGUAGGAAUGCCGAUGGGGAAGCCAGCUUACUGGACAGAUACUGACGCUGAAGCGCGAAAGCGUGGGUAGCAAACAGGAUUAGAUACCCUGGUAGUCCACGCCGUAAACGAUGAUUACUAGGUGUUGGGGGUCGAACCUCAGCGCCCAAGCAAACGCGAU